AGAAGCCAACCACCUCUGGGCCAGAAAGGACUGAUGUGCCUGGCACAGCCCAGCCUCGACAGAUAGAUCUGUCUGCUCUAAGGGCUUUGCAGAGGACAACCUCAUGCAAGGUGGUCCCAAGGGAACAUACAGGGAGAUCCAAAUGCUGGUCAAGGAACGCUCAGGCUGAGGAGAGCUGAGGUUGUGGGAGCUGUACUUGUUCACAUGAGCCAAAGAUGUGACUGCUUGUUUCCCAGAUAUCCUUCUGUAUCUGAAACUGAAAGGAAGAAAAUCUCAACUUCACGACUGCAUGGAGUUAGUUAUGUCACUGCAGACCCCUUGAGAUGUGGAGAUGAAAUAGGAUUUGCCUCUGUCACACCUGUGAGAAGACCAUCAAGGACAGCUGCAGCCUUCAGAAGACCAAAAUCUCCACUAAUGCUCUCAGCCAAGGACCAUCUUGUUACAGCUGAAUUUCCUCAGGAAGGUUUCACUCAAAGUAUUCUUGCUUGAGCUGACUUGAUGCUUUUGCAUGAAAUUCAAACAACUUCUAGUCAGGACCUCAGGGAAGUAAGGUUCAGUCACUGUAUCACUGUCUUUGUAGUCAUGAAUGUGUACAUGGUGAAUAGUUUUGACAAAUUACAUGCCAUUGUACAUGGUGUGACUACUUACUAUCAGGCAGAACAUCACUUUCAUCCCACGACUGGAGUAUCACACAAACCAAAUAGUUGUACAGAUUUUCCCAAAACUCCCUGUGAGCUCUGAUGUUUGCUCCUUUCUCCUUCUCACAAACACUACAUCUGUUCCUUUAGCAGUUGCUGGCACACAAGACAGGCCUGGGUGCCAACUAAUACUAUAUGAUCUUUUUCCGAAUUCAUUUUCCACUUUUUAAAUUAAAUUAUGUGCCAGAUCCUCAGAUUUAAUACUGCCACUGCCUAUUAAUCAGUUGAUGGUCUGGCCUUGCAUAGAAGUUGUUUGUUUUUUCUUUUGAGUAUGAACACAACCAAGGAUUUACAUUUCAAUCUGACGUGAAGCCAGUGAAAACAUUGAUAGUUUUGUGCCUGAUGUAUCCGUCAUGAAAGAAAUCACUACAAUUUUCCAAACAAGCUAGGAAAAAAAAA